GGCUGUCCAAAGAUAGUUGAGUUAUCUCAAUUGAUUGUUCAUAGUUACAGAUUGAACUCCUUGUUCUAUUCUUCCCCUGCUUCUCACUAUUGCACUUGACUAGUCUUUA
rnacentral:Y_RNA from 1 species